UGAACUGGCAUUUGCAGUUUAGUGGUAAAUUUGUGUUGAAAAUCACAGAAAUGGCCUCGAAAACAGGUGACAUUCAGACCCCUAAAUUGGCUGAUUUUCCAUGAUAAAAAUAUACAGCAAGUGGGUGCACCAUGGCUAUCCAUGUAUUUUCUGGAAGACAUACCCCCAACAAUACUGAAGAUAUGUUUUGUAUGAUUUCAGGUGUAGACGUUGUGUUAGCUGUGAGGACGGACAGUGCCCCCACCCCGGCAGCCAGUAGCCGAUUUGUGAAAAACUGUAGUGUGCCCCCUAAGUGCGUCUAUCAAACAUUAUGGCCGACAAAGACAUUACAUUUAUUGUCAGUAUUGAUGGAGAGGAGCAUCACAUCAUAGGAUCAGCAACCUUUGUAGAGGCCCUGAAUUCAGAUGACCAUUCAACCAGGCAACAUGCCUAUGCGUACAUUUUAUCUGUGCUGAGGCAAGGUUUGUCAUUCACAUUUUUUCUUAUCUCUUUACUUUCAAAUGAAACUUGAAAAUGUGAUUGAUUACAUGUUUAAUGAUAAUUAGGGAUUCAAAUAAUACAAAAAUGUUCAUGUGCUUGUAUUUUUUUCCGAUUGUUUAUUGCGAAAAAAGUGAUUGAUUUGUUUUAAUUUCAAAGUAAACAUUGUGAUGUGGUCACUUUUUAAAAUACUGAAUGUUUUGUAAUUGGCAAAAUAUUGGGUAGCCGCACAUGCGCAUAUAUCACAAAAACUUGCUUUACUUUCUGAAGAAGCACAGAGGUCAGGAGGCAUCUAAUGCAUAAAAUUAUUUGUGGACCUAUUUGAUGACUAUAAUAACCGUGUGUGUAAACAAUGUUUACCAAUACUGUACAUGAAUUGAUUUUGAACUUAGUUCAUUUAUGUUUGUUCAUUUUAAAGACAAGCCUCUUCAUUUAAAAUUAUUUGAAAAUUAAACAUCACAAUGGAAAAUGCCAUAUUGCAAUGUAUAAAAAAAUCCUAUAUAGCUGCUGUGUUUUAUUUAUUUUGUAUUGCAUGGAAGGCAAGUGCUGGUACUCCUAGUGAUGGUGGUGGCGGUGGUGGUGGGGGAGGUUAGGCUGUUGGUGAUGAUGAUUGUGAUUAUGACAAGGAUUGUAAUGCUGAUACGGAUAAUUCUGAUGAUGAUAAUGGUGACUAUGAGUGGAUAAUUAUACGCCCACAAACAAAGUUUAGGGGGGUAUAUAGGAGUGAGCUUGUCUGUCUGUCAUUUGGUCUGUCUUGUCGGUCCGUAUUACGUGUCAGCUCUCUAAUUCAAGUUGUUUUCAUCCGAUCUUGACCAAACUUGGUCAGAUGUUGUAUCAAGAUGAUGUCUAGGUCAAGUUCGAAUAUGGGUCAUGUCAGAUUAAAAACUAGAUCAUGGGGUCACUUAGUGCGUUUUACACAUUUAGCAUGUUGUCCGCUCUCUAAUUCAAGUAGUUUUUAUCCGAGCUUCACCACACUUGGUCAGAAGUUGUAUCUAGAUGAUGUGUAGGUAUAAAGUUUGAACAUAGGCCAUGCCGGGUAAAAAACUAGGUCAUGGGGUCACUUAGUGCGUUUUUAACAUUGAGCAUGGUGUCCUUUGUUUUAUGUGAAGACAACAUGCAAAAUAUUCUGUGUCAAUGCGGCAUGUGGGGGUAUUGAUUACGUCUGUGACAAAGCUCUAGUUUAUGAUGUUUAUGAUAGUUGUGAGGAAGAUGAUAGUGAUGGUAAGGAUGGUGAAGAUGGUGACAAUGAUGAUUGUGAUUGUGGUAAUUAUGAUCAUGGCAAUGAUAAUUAUGCUUAAGAUUGUGACAAUUUUAAUGAUGAUGAUCACGGCAAUGAUAAUUAUGCUUAAGAUUGUGACAAUUUUAAUGAUGAUGAUAAAUGAGGAUGACAAACAGGGGGGGAGGGGUAAUGAUGAUGGUGAUAAUUGAUGAUGUUUAUUAUAGUUAUGAUGAUGCAUAAUUAACCAGGUUUUCCGAAGGAAAAAACUGGUUAUUAGAUUGGCGAAUGCGGGCGGGCAGGCUGGCGGGCGGGCGGAGCAAGCUUGUCCGGGCCAUAACUUUCUCGUUCAUUGUGAGAUUUUAAAAUCAUUUGGCACAUUUGUUAACCAUCAUUAGACGGUGUGUCGCGCGAAGAAAUUACAUCAAUAUCUCCAAGGUCAAGGUCACACUUUGAGUUCAAAAGUAAAAAAUAGCCAUAAAUGAGCUUGUCUGGGCUAUAACUAUGUCAUUCAUUUUGAGAUUUUAAAAUCAUUUGGCACAUUUGUUCACCAUCAUGGGACGGUGUGUCGCAAGAAAGAAUCACGUCAAUAUCUCCAAUGUCAAGGUCGCCACGACUAAAAAUAGAUUUAUUUUAAAACAAACUUACAAAGGGGGUUAAUUUUGUUUGUUCAUUUCAAAAGUUCAGUUUGAGUUGUCUCCCUUUAUCAGAUUUUUUUUCACAAUGAAAACCUGGUUUUGUGACAAUUUUGUCCCUUGUUUGGUGGUUGAAUUGGCAUGACGCCUUAUCUAUGAUCGCUCCGCCCACUUAAUCACGUGGCUCAGCGGGUAGCAAACCUAGACAAGCUAACACCAAAAUGGCUUCAUUGCCUAUAUACUGCAUGUAGAAUAACGCAAUAUUCCGGAUUAUUUUUAUGGACUUUUUGACACCAUAUGACACUUGUAUAAGGGGUUUGUGUGAUUUAGUAAUUCUGCGAAUGCAAAAAAUAUACGUUUAUAGAGAACAUCAGAUAAUUAUAACGGGUUUUUCGGUACAUGAAUAACGCU